AACGUAGGAGACAAACGUUAUCCGGAGUUACUGGGCGUAAAGGGCGUGUAGGGGGUUUUGUAAGUCUGGCGUGAAAUUUUUCGGCUUAACCGGGAAAGGUCGUCGGAUACUGCAGAACUAGAGGACGGUAGAGGCGUGUGGAAUUCCGGGUGUAGUGGUGAAAUGCGUAGAGAUCCGGAGGAACACCAGUGGCGAAGGCGACACGCUGGGCCGUACCUGACACUGAUGCGCGACAGCAUGGGGAGCAAACAGG
rnacentral:rRNA from 1 species